AAAAUUUGAGUAUAGUUUCUUUAGUCUAAAUUCAAAUCUGAAAUGUACAAGGGAAGCACCUAUAUUUAUAGCCUAGAGGUGCUGAAAAUCAAACUAAAAGAAUUCAAAAUUCCCUCCUAAAAGCUACUAGAACCGACGCCUAAACCCAUGCAUGAGGAAGGUGUGACCUCUUCCUUCACUUUGGCACCUCCUUAUUUACACCUACAACUAUCUACUAACGCACCCCCCUCCUAAAGCUCCUAACUAAAGACUAAAAGAUGCUUUAACAAUAGAGGUUUCUAAUGUUUCCCUCUAAGCACCUUCAACCAAAGAAAUUACAAAAAGAGAAAAUAAUUGUCCCCUAGCUCCUAAAGCUUUGAACAUGCUUCUUGUAAGCCUUUGAGGUGGGCUUUGACCUCCAUGGGCGUCCUCCAUUUGAGCCUCUACCUCUUCUUGAUCUUGUUGAUU
rnacentral:lncRNA from 1 species